GACGAACGCUGGCGGCGUGCUUAACACAUGCAAGUCGAACGGAAAGGCCCUGCUUUUGUGGGGUGCUCGAGUGGCGAACGGGUGAGUAACACGUGAGUAACCUGCCCUUGACUUUGGGAUAACUUCAGGAAACUGGGGCUAAUACCGGAUAGGAGCUCCUGCUGCAUGGUGGGGGUUGGAAAGUUUCGGCGGUUGGGGAUGGACUCGCGGCUUAUCAGCUUGUUGGUGGGGUAGUGGUUUACCAAGGCUUUGACGGGUAGCCGGCCUGGGAGGGUGACCGGCCACAUUGGGACUGAGAUACGGCCCAGACUCCUACGGGAGGCAGCAGUGGGGAAUAUUGCACAAUGGGCGGAAGCCUGAUGCAGCAACGCCGCGUGCGGGAUGACGGCCUUCGGGUUGUAAACCGAUUUCGCCUGUGACGAAGCGUGAGUGACGGUAAUGGGUAAAGAAGCACCGGCUAACUACGUG
rnacentral:rRNA from 1 species